AUUGAACGCUGGCGGCAGGCCUAACACAUGCAAGUCGAGCGGAUGAAGGUAGCUUGCUACCUGAUUCAGCGGCGGACGGGUGAGUAAUGCCUAGGAAUCUGCCUGGUAGUGGGGGACAACGUUUCGAAAGGAACGCUAAUACCGCAUACGUCCUACGGGAGAAAGUGGGGGAUCUUCGGACCUCACGCUAUCAGAUGAGCCUAGGUACGAUUAGCUAGUUGGUGAGGUAAAGGCUCACCAAGGCGACGAUCGUUAACUGGUCUGAGAGGAUGAUCAGUCACACUGGAGCUGAGCCACGGUCCAGACUCCUACGGGAGGCAGAAGUGGGGAAUAUUGGACAAUGGGCGAAAGCCUGAUCCAGCCAUGCCGCGUGUGUGAAGAAGGUCUUCGGAUUGUAAAGCACUUUAAGUUGGGAGGAAGGGCUGUAAGUUAAUACCUUGCUGUUUUGACGUUACCGACAGAAUAAGCACCGGCUAACUUCGUGCCAGCCGCCGCAGUAAUAC
rnacentral:rRNA from 1 species